UACGUAGGGUGCGAGCGUUUAAUCGGAAUUACUGGGCGUAAAGCGUGCGCAGGCGGUUAUGUAAGACAGAUGUGAAAUGCCCGGGCUUAACCUGGGAACUGCAUUUGUGACUGCAUGGCUAGAGUUUGGCAGAGGGGGGUAGAAUUCCACGUGUAGCAGUGAAAUGCGUAGAUAUGUGGAGGAACACCGAUGGCGAAGGCAGCCCCCCUGGGUUAACACUGACGCUCAGGCACGAAAGCGUGGGGAGCAAACAGG
rnacentral:rRNA from 1 species